UGUUUUGAUCAUAUCUGGAUUUGCCUUUUACAUGGAACGCUUGGAACACUUCAACUCCUGGUACUGAUUAGUGCAUCCUGUUUGCUCAGGCGGUGGUGUGAUGUUUACAAGAUAAAUCACAAGAUCUGAUCUGACUGUAACCGUUAGCCCACACUGUUAAAAGGGAUUUAGGCUUUUAGUCAGAAGAACUACUGUCAUCAAGUUGAGACAAAUUAUUGCCCAUUGCAACAAAGUAACAAGAGUUGACAACUUCAACUUGCAAAAUGCGCGGAAACUCGUUAAAAACACACAAUAAUCAGUUCAGGCGACUUCAGAAAGUAAGUCAAGGUGGGCAUUUCAGCCAGCACGCAUGCUCUCGAUGUGACGUCACACGCAGCGUUCAACUCUUACAAUCCGAGGUUUUUCCAAGGCGCAAAGUCAUCCAGUACACUUAAAAUUAUUUUACCAAAGUCAGUUUAUUUGUAGGCAAUGCGUAUGAUUCAUCUAAUGGCUCUCCGUCUCAGAUAGUCCACCAACACAACCUGGGAUGAAUAUUUCCUGUUUAUUUCGUUGUCGGGUAAAUUGCCCGCUCCAACAAUAACGGCAGUACAGCACUGACUGAAUCUGAUCCGCACCGACCUGCACCGAUAUCAAGAGUCAAGAAGACUAUCUGUGAAAGAAAGAAGAAAAUUAACAACACAGGAGGAGAGAGAGACGACAGGGGAGCAGCAGAGGCUUAGUGAGGAGGAGGAUGGAGGAGAGGAGGAGCAGACAGUAGAACAGCAGGACAAUAUCCCAAUAAUACAGAGCACAGUGAGGAGGAAGGACAGGAGGCAGCAGCAGCCGAGGGUCAGGUAGCAACAGUCACAGAGGCGAGGCAGGAGGCAGUAAACCUGGACCAACAGUUACUUCACUUCAGUGUUGGCUGUGCUGCUUAGGGAAACUGCCCCUCAAUGACGUGGUCCUACUGUGUACUCCUUCAGCAUGGGAAUCAGGUCCGAGAUGUGCACUCCCAGGGUCCGGUCCCUCAAGAAUAAACUGCUCUGUUAGAGGUACGGCUCAGGAGGAUGUUUCUGCAUUUGGGCCUUAAGUAUUCUCUUUUUUGCCAUUUGUCCAUUGGACUAUCUACUAAAAGGAAAAGGAAUGUAAUGCCCUGGGUCACAACAGUUUUCUUGGUUUGGAGGAGGACGACGAGGAAGAGGACAAAGGAGGAGGAGGAUGGGGAAGUGGAGGAGGAGACAGAAGGUCCCGGGCAACACUGCCUGCAGCUUUAAUUUGUAUUUUAUGUUUUAGAGGAUUUGUUUCUCCCUCAAAGGAAGGGUGCUCUUCAUUUUAUGUAUUUUACUGUUUGAAUUUGUUUUGUUUUUGGUUUUUUUAACAAGUUUGAAUUUGUUGCAGGGGUGUUAAUAAAGUUCCUUAUUGAA